rnacentral:rRNA from 1 species
CCUACGGGAGGCUGCAGUGAGGAAUAUUGGUCAAUGGGCGCGAGCCUGAACCAGCCAAGUCGCGUGAGGGAGGACGGCCCUACGGGUUGUAAACCUCUUUUGCCGGGGAGCAACGGGCGCCACGUGUGGCGCCACUGAGAGUACCCGGAGAAAAAGCAUCGGCUAACUCCGUGCCAGCAGCCGCGGUAAUACGGAGGAUGCGAGCGUUAUCCGGAUUUAUUGGGUUUAAAGGGUGCGUAGGCGGAUCGUUAAGUCAGUGGUCAAAUUGAGGGGCUCAACCCCUUCCCGCCAUUGAAACUGGCGAUCUUGAGUGGAAGAGAAGUAUGCGGAAUGCGUGGUGUAGCGGUGAAAUGCAUAGAUAUCACGCAGAACCCCGAUUGCGAAGGCAGCAUGCCGGCUUCCGACUGACGCUGAAGCACGAAAGCGUGGGGAUCGAACAGGAUUAGAUACCCGGGUAGUC